AAUUGAAGAAGCAAUUGAAGAAAUCCAAUGAUCCAAAAGUUAUUGAUCAAUUGAAGAACCGUAUAUCUUGGAUUGAUAAACAAUUAAAGUUUGAGUCGACAAAACAUAUUGAUGCAGCAAUACUGGCUGAGCACAAGAAGAAAGAGAGAGAAGCAGCAAAGCAAGGGAAAAAGCCCUUCUAUAUGAAGAAAUCUGAAAUACGGAAGCAAAGGCUAAUUAAGGAAUUCACCAAACUUAAGGAAUCUGGCAAGCUUGAAUCUUUCAUCGAGAAACGGAGGAGGAAGAAUGCUUCAAAGGACCACAGAUACAUGCCAUACCGCAGGCCCAGCAAUACCGAGCAACAAGGCUAAAGAAUUUGCAAAUAUUUGGUUGUUGGAAAGAUGUACGUUCGUCAAAGUUAAAUCUUUGUCAUAUAUAUAUAUGCCACCAAUGAGAGUAAAUUUAUGAUGAUUGAGUGCAUGAUGCAUCUGGGUUUGAUGGUGCUUUUCUUUUCAGAGUUCUGGAGUAGCUAAUACAUUCCAUUUCAACCAAUGAAUUUUCUUUUGCGAGUUGCUGAUCAACAGAAAAAAAUAAAAAAGGG
rnacentral:misc_RNA from 1 species